rnacentral:tRNA from 1 species
UUUGAAGUAGCUGUACAUUAGCGCUGGCCUUUUAAGCCAGAGAUGGAUGUCUUAUCCCACAAAG